AAAUCCCGUAGCCGGUCCUGUUCUCAACCUUGACAUAGGGCCAGUGGGACAAGGCUGUGGGCAAAGUGUGAGUUUGGGGUUUUCUUGUUUAGGGGGUCCCCGGACAGAGCUCUAGUGACAGGGGUCUCUUGUGGAAAUUGCACUCUAUCAGACCUGGGGCUCUGUCCUGCUGGCCUUGUUACCUGGGCAAGUCACCUCACCUCUCUGAGUCCCAAGUUCCAAGGAGAUGACCUCCGAUCCCUUCUAGCUCAGCCACUCCCCCCUGGGGAAGAGGCCAAACCUCUCUGCAAUCUUGGUACACACACACACACACACACACAGCACAGCCAAAGCUUCAACAUAGGGCUGCAUUGUUACCUCUGGAGAGAUGGAUCUGGGCGUCCCCACACCCAGGUGGAGAAGGAGCGCGAGAAGGCACUCACUUCCUGGAGUCCUGCAGCAACAUGGCCUUUAAAGCUUGUGACUUCUCCCUGAUUCCAGACCAGGGCCCUCCAAAGGAAGUCAGCGCUACCACCCCUAAUUCUUCCCCGACAGCCACAUCACAUACUCCAGGAGGUGGACAGGACUCCACAUCCCUGGCAGACUUGGGAGAGAAGGCCUUCCGCCUGG
rnacentral:lncRNA from 1 species